rnacentral:rRNA from 1 species
CAUCCUGGGGCUGUAGUAGGUCCCAAGGGUUGGGCUGUUCGCCCAUUAAAGUGGUACGCGAGCUGGGUUCAGAACGUCGUGAGACAGUUCGGUCCCUAUCCGUCGCAGGCGUAGGAAAUUUGAGAAGACCUGUCCUUAGUACGAGAGGACCGGGAUGGACGUACCUCUGGUGUACCAGUUGUUCUGCCAAGGGCAUGGCUGGGUAGCUAUGUACGGAAUGGAUAAGCGCUGAAAGCAUCUAAGCGCGAAGCCAACUUCAAGAUAAGAUUUCCCACCGCAAGGGUAAGACCCCAGAAAGACUAUCUGGUUGAUAGGUCGAAGGUGUAAGUGCAGCAAUGUAUUUAGCUUAUCGAUACUAAUAGGUCGAGGACUUGACCAA